UAACGCACAUCGUAUUUGAAAUGAUCAGAGAUAAAAAAACAAUUACAGUAAAACUAAAAAUAGAAAGAAUAAAUUAUAUUACUAAUGAGGUUGACUUCUGUUAGCAAUGCAGUUUAUUACAUAUCAAUUUAUAGAAAUAAUAAAAAAUGGACGGAUACUUUACAAAUUCUGGAUGAAUAUCUGAGAUAAAUCUGGACGGAUAUCUCUUAUUUACUGUUUUUCAUGAUAUUGUUAUAUUUGUAACUAAUCAUCGUAACAAUUAAAGUCAUUCUAUCUGUCAAACGCAAAAA